rfam:Snodgrassella alvi SCGC AB-598-O02 SCG598O02_12421, whole genome shotgun sequence.
UUUGUCAGCCAUAUUAUGGUGAGCUUGGCUAACUUGUCUGCCGCAAGGUAUAAUUUGAAUGAGAAAAUAAUAUGUUAUCUGUUGAACAAAAAGCGCAAAUCGUUAAAGAUUUUCAACGUACUGAA